CGGCCAGGACGGGAAUAGCAGCGCCACCGUCUCUUCCUCCCAAAUUUUCAGUGCGGAGCUGGAGUAAUGCCGUCGGCGUCGUGGUCGAGCCGUCAAGGUACCUCCUCUUCGCGCGCGCCGCGAUUUGCCUUCUCAUGCAUGCUGGCUGCAAGGGUCUCAACCCCGCCGCCGGAGUCGUGAACGGGGUCUCCAUAUUGAGGGGUAGGGGACACGCACGAGAGAGAGAGCGGGAGGGCAAUGGAGACGUCGAUUUUUGCCGUCGAUUAGAGGUAAUGGCGCAGUAGCGCCUCCAAAUCUAGGGUUGGUAAUUCUAGUUUAGACAUAUGUAUUUUGGGGAUAAUCCUAUUAGUUUGGGUGCUUAGGUAUUGACGCACAACAGCCCUGGAUUGCACAAUAGAUAGCUUUAUUAGUAGCUCGUGCUUAGCAUCAUAGUCCAUUAGUGUGCGUGUGUGGUAGCUGUAGAGCUUGGAUCAGGCGCAAAGCAACCCUGGUUUGCAUGCGACAGCAGGACCGGAGCUCACCUGCCGGCGGCGUGAUGCGACGAACUGCACCGAAGAACACCUUUAUGGACAUGAAGACACCCCCAUUCAAUCUACAAUUCUGCUACUUCUUUAAGGUGUGAGCAUGGUCAUUCCUUGCAAAUUUUUAUGGGUGCACACCACAUGCUCGAUCAACUGUCUCCAUAGUUUGAACCAGCGGCCUUGUCCAUAUGCAUGUCAUAUGUGCAACUUGCUAUGCGACUAUUCUUAUGUCUACAAUUGCAUACUAGUAGUAGUAUAAACAGUUAAACACCCAUUAACUAGCGAAACUAUUUCAUAUAAACCUAAUAUGAUUUUGCCUCAUAAAUUGGAUGUGUUUAUUCCCACUACUAAUCGAAGGGGUGUUCUCAUGCCAGGGUGCGGGAUGUGGGAUGUCCACCCAUCCGCAACUACUGGAAGAACACGCUGGCAGCGAGCGUCCCCAAGAGCAAGGGAGGAGAUGAUGUUGCAGCUCAAGGGGGCCUCACUACCUGAAGGUGAGCAUGGAUGGCGCCCAUUUUCCCCCAUCAAAUUUGUACAAAUUCGUUGCAGAGCAAUGGACAUUUGUGUUUGAAUCAGUGGGUGAACUUUUUGCAAUCAAUAGAUAGGCAGUUAUGUGAAUUAUGGGGAGAAAGCAGUCCCUUGGAUUUCUAGAAGAGUUGCCUCGUAUUGUAAUGCAGUUGCUUGAUUUUGUUAGGACAGUUGUUUGGUUUUUGCUAGGCCAAUUUUGCAUUGUGUUUUAGGUAAUGCGGUUGCUUCGAUUGCUAGGACAGUUGUUUGGUUUUUGCUAGGCCAAUUUUGCAUUAUGUUUUAGGUAAUGCGGUUGCUUCGAUUGCUAGGACAGUUGCUUGGUUUUCCUAGGACUGUUGCUUGGUUUUGCUAGAAUAGUUUUGCACUGUUUGUUUUUGUAAUAUAGUGGGAUUUCUUUUGCUAGAGACAGUUGCUUUUCAAUCUUGCUAGAACAGUUGUGUAGAUUUUGCUAGGUUUGGGGGAGGGUAGUAGGAGUUGCUCACAGUGUGACGUCGAGCUGCGCUCGAGGGGGGGAGGGUAGUAGGAUUUUUCUUUGCACAAUUUGUUGCUUCAGUUACGAGCAUUUGUUUUCCUGUAAUAUUCAACUAAAGUUGAUUUGGUUUUACUGAAUUCGUGGGGGGUUUAUAUUCAGUGAUCUUCAGUCUACCUUUUUUACAAACGUUUUAUUCUUAACCACAGAACAGAGACAUCACCUGCAUCAUCCUACUUCUGAAAAAGCAACACAAAAAAGAGGUCAGUAGUGAUAGAGCAACUUCGAACCAGAAUAGAGCAACUGGCCAUAAAUCACAAAGCAUCAUAAAGUAAAACUUGUUGUGAUUUGGGAAGAACUAUCACACAACAAAAGCAACAAAAAUACACAAAAAAGAUACCAGAGUAUGCCUACACUGUUUGGAUGCCUUUUUCAUGCACAAUACAUGAAAGAUUACAUAGUUGCCCACAAGCAACCAUACAGUUCCCUAAAAGUAUGUAUCGAGUUGCCCAAUCCUCGUGAACAGAAACAUCAUCAAUACCAUAUUUUGGCCAAUAUCUAAAGCUUUUAGAUAUCUUUCAAUUUGGUUUGUGUCAUAGAGAUGCGUUCAGAAUUUCUUAUCCUCGGGUGGGAUCCCAUGGUGCAAUCGUAAAUACUUGGCGAAUGAUCAUAGAGGGGGGGGAGGGGUGAAGCUGGUCAUGGGACAUAACUAAAACCACAAAGUGUUUGUAGGGGAUUAAGUUUUUCUGUGAACCCCUCCAAAAGCGAACAUGUUUAUAUUCUUUAUCCCUUUUUGUAGGUGCCAUAGUUGCCCAUGAUCAACUAUACAGUUGCCUAAAACCAUAUAUCCAGUUGCCCAAUCCUCAUGAACAGAAACAUCACCAAGACCAUAUUUUGGCCACUAUCUAAAGGUUUUAGAUACAUUUCAAUUAAGUUUGUGUCGUAGAGACCCGUCAAGAAUUUUUUCUCCUCAGGGUGGGAUCCCUUGGUGCGAGAAUGAUCUUAGAGGAGGAGGGGUGGUGCUGGUCAUGGGGACAUAAUGUUUUUAGGGGACUAAGCUUAUCUGUGAACCCCUUCAAAAAUGAACAUGUGUAUGUUCUUUAUUCCUCUUUUUUAGGUGUCAACUGGAGAUACGAGGCACACGACUAUGCGUGCGUGGGUGUGGUUGUGUGUAGUUGCCCAAGAAAAACAGUGAAGUUGUUUGAAAAACUCCACAAAGUUGCCUGCUAAAUCACAUCGUUGGGAUCAUAGGCACCAACAAAACUGGGAGGAAGUUGCUUCAUUUUAAGUAGUACGUAGGACAUAAAGAUUUUUUUUUAAUCUGCAUAUUUUUUGCUGUUAACAAAAAUAGUUCCUAAUUUUGUGUGGACAAAGAUUGAUUGUAUUUGCAUUGAACAAGCUUCUUACGUUUUUUUUGCAUGGACAAAGUUGCUUAUAGCACACAAGAUAGUUGCUUAAAACCAGUAUGUCUUUGCUGGGAGAAGGGACACAUGCCUAGUCAUUUUUGAUAUUAUGCGACCGUGUUUUUUUGUUUUUACUUGUGUAUUUAAUGCACCUACAUAUGUGUUACUGUCACCUAUAUAUGACAUCCUCUUUGCUGUUUUUGUGGUUCUUUGUUUUUUUGCAUAAAGGGUUGCCUGAUAUUACUGCAAGGAUCUUAUAGGGGCAACAACCCCUUUUUUAAUGUCUGACACUAGUUGCUUCAAAUUUUAUCAUGAGUUGCCUGAAAUCACAGGCAAAGUUGUUGCAUGUAUUUUUUACUUUUGCAUAGGAGGAUGCAUGAUAAUUUUUACUACAAGGAACUUAUAUGGGAGCAGACCUUUUUUACACGCCUGAUAGUAAUUGCUUCAAAUUUUAAUGAGUUGCCUGAAAAUCACUAGUAAGUUUGCCUUGUGUGGUUUUACUCUUUUUGAAAACAGCAUGAUCUAUGGUCCAUACAUGCACAAACUGUUUUAAGGCUCUAUACUUGCAGUACAUAGUUGCCUAGCUUUUUGGUCAUCUUUUUCAAGUUCUUACAGGAAAUUGUAAUUUUGCCCAACGGCUUAUCUAUGUGUGAAAGGAGACAAACCAAGUUUUUGUUGAUCAUCAACCUGUUUUUUUGGUUGUUCAAGUAUCCCUGGUCAUUAAAACAAGUGAAAGGGGAAGGAGGGGGAGGGGAUGGAGAGGGGUGUGCGGGUUUCAGCCAGUUGUUUUUUUUCUACAAUUUGAUCGGUGCGUUUGAGGACGGGAGAAAGAUGAUCUGUUCAAAGCAUCAUGAUUGCCAAGCUUUCUAGAUCAAAAGGAGAGAGAGGAUUCUGGAAACUGUUAGGUGGGAGGAGAGGAAGAAGGAUGACAUGCUGGGGUUGGAUGCUUGGCGCUGGUAGCCAAGAAAAGGAGGAGAGGGGGACCAGGUGGGGUGCGUGGUUUGGGCGGGCAUGCACUGGUUCGCGGGGACGUCACAGGAGGGGACUAGGCGCACUCUGUUCUUUACUUUUGUUGAUGUAUUUCCCAAAAUGAACAACCUAGAAUAUGUAUACCUAAUUAAAAGGUAUCGAGUUGCCCAAUCCUCAUGAACAGAAACGUCACCAAGACCAUAUUUUGGGCAAUAUCUAAAGGUUUUAGAUACCUUUCAAUUAGAUUUGUGUCAUAGAGACGCGUUAAGAAUUUCAGAAAAAUAUACCAGAGUUUGCUCUGCACUGUACAUGAAAGAUAACAUAGUUGCCCAUAAUCAACCAUACAGUUGCCUAAAAGCAUGUAAUGAGUUGCCCAAUCCUCAUGAAUAGAAACAUCAUUAGGACCAUAUUUCGAUCAAUAUUUAAUGGUUUUAGAUACCUUCCAAUUAGGUUUGUGUCAACAACUCAAAGCAACUCAACUAAAAGUAACUCGGUACUAAAUUAUCCCCAUUCCGCGCGAGUGAUGUUGGUCUUGACUCAAGUCGGUAUACUCAUGGUGGACGUUUAUAGUGACUCCGGUAUGUGAUAGCGUUAUCCGACCUUGCUAGUGAAACAUUCAACGGCUAAUACGAUGAGAAGGUCGCGAUAGUUACCUCUAUGGUCUAGACCAAUGAAGAGUUGUGAUACGAUGUAGUAGACGAUGUACUCGUAUGACGUACAAGUGGUUGCACAAUCCCCAUUUCCGAUGAACUUGCUUGAUAUAGACGAGGGCCAUGCGACGACGCGGUGUGCAACAGAGUGUGAUGCCUUGGUUCUGAGGGGUGAUGCUCGCUUCAUUUUGUGGUAGUAGUGAUGGUCGUCGCAAGAGGUAUGGGUCUUGUGCCAUAGUGAUCAAUGAUUCAUCGUGGAGGAGGUUGCAAGGGACGCGAUCUAGCAUGUGCCUCAAAAGGGAGGGACACGAGAGAUGUAGUCUGGCAUCGGGGCCGUUAGAUUGGUCGGCCUGGCUCCCGGACAACGGUGCUAGUGAGCGGUACACCAGGUGACCGGAUGGAUCAUCUAGCGAGGUGGCGUUCGGCACGGUACACUUAGGAGCACACGGACGAAUCGGUUGAUGAGCAGUUGCAGGCGUGUAAGAAAACGUAGCAAAGAAGCAAGCCAGCACACGUGUGUGCGAGGCAUCAUCGACCAACUACUUUGCCAUGCACACGUAGUCACGUACUAGAUGGCUUAGCUGCUGCCUGAUGGAUGUAUGUGAAUGGAUGGAUACAUGGCGGGUAGGGUGCUGAUUGCGCCUGCUAGCAACGCAUGCAUCGCGCGGCCGUUCUAUUCAAGGCACCCGUGGGGGAGGGUGCGCUCGAAUCAACGAGCCAGCGCAGCGGCGCUCCGUAUCCGGGUCCAUUUGAUUCAACCUAAAUACUUCACAGUGGAGCUGCGCCGGAUGGACGCGGCAAGCGCACGCGCUAGAUGACAAAACUAGUUUGCUAUCUGUAAUAAACGCGUUAUCCACUGGGUAGUGUAAAGCGCAUGCAUGUGCCAACGUCAUCUAUUUAUUCUGUUUCAAAUUUUCAAAAAGCUACAACUUUACCGAGUGUCAGAACGCAGAACCGUUUUCACUGCAGGGUUCCUCGCGACGAGCUCUUCAAAACUAGAUCCCAUAUGAAUAUGUUUUGAUGAUUUUUUUUCGAAAGCAACUUUGAUGCUAGAUGAAGCAACAUUAGUGUUAAACAUGAGCAAAUCUGAUGCUAGAUGAAUUGCACCGUGUGUAUAACUAACUUCGCCUAGUAGCCACCUAGUUAGUUGUGUGCAACAGUGUAAUAGGGGGGUCACCAUGAUUUCUAAGUUGCAUACAUUGGAAAAUAAGUUGUGGAUUGUUUAGUUGCCUAUCAUACUGUGAAAAUUUCUUACCGUAGAGUGGAAACUCUAACAUGGCUUAUAAGUUGUCUACCGCAGAAACCAGGUUGCCCUUUCACUACGAAGUUGCCUAUGAGUGAUCCUCAAUUUCUUACAAUACUAUGAAGUUGUCCAUCAAGGGACCUAAGUUGCCUACAAUAUCGAAAAGUUUUUGUGGGAUUUAAGUCAUCUAUCAUGAUUUCAAAUUUUGAACUAUGUGGGGAUGGGUGGUAUGAGAUGUGUUUUCCUUUUCUAGGGGAGUCUGCCCGCCAACGCUAUUAAGCACACGGAUGUUGGCUAGCCAGGUCCUGACGAGCUCUUCAAAACUAUACCCACAUGAAUACGUUUUGAUGAUUUUUCUUUCAGAAAGCAACUUAGACGCUAGAUGAGACAACUUUAGUGCAAAACAGAAGCAACUCCACUCCAAUUUAAAGUAACUAAUUACCAACAAUGAGCAACUAACUAGUAAUAGAGAAUAACCUUGAACAGAGGUAGACAACAUCAUAUCACCUUUAUAAGCAACUUUCUUUCUACGAGAGACAACUUUAGUGCAAAAAAUAGGCAACUUCACUACACUUUCUCCUAAUUAAUUUUCUCUAACAUUCUCCUAACUUCCUCACGGGUACUUCUAAGUUGCAUAUUCUCCUAGCUUCCUCACUGGUACUUAUAAGUUGCAUAUUGUUGAUUCUAAACGGCCUAUAAUACUAUGAAGUCAUCUACCAUUGAUACUCUUGUAUCUGCUAUUGCUAACUACGAUAGGCAACUUGGUGCUCAAUUUUGGCAACUUUUAGAGUGUUUGCAUGCAACUUAGAAAAACAAUGGUAAACCACUUCACAAUAUUGUAGGCAACUAUUUUUGCAAAGUUAGGCAACCGAGAAGCAAUGAUAGACAACUAAUUACCAAUAGUAGGAAACUAGGCAUCAAUUGGUAGGCAAGUUACAAUAUUUAUAGGCAACUGCACAUCAAUUGUAGGCAACUAACUAUCAAAUAAUAGGCAAAUGAGCAACCAUGCAUGAUAGGCAAGUUGGGAUAGUGUUAGUAAAAUUCACAGGUACACAUAGUGUAGUGAAGUUGUUUUGUAUGUAGCACUAAAGGGGCGUUAUGUUUUGUCUGAUUUUUCUUGUUUUUACGCCAACAAACCUAAUAGGAAGUCCUACUAGGGCAAAGAGAAGAAGUUGCUUCUCUAUAGCACGAUAGUUGCCUCCUUCACACCCAAAGUUGCCCUAAAAAAGUAUCCAGUUGCCCACAGUCAACCAUACAAUUGCCUAAAACAAAGUAUCCAGUUGCCCACAAUCAACAAAUAGUUUGCCUAAAACCAUGUAUCCAGUUGCCCAAUCCUCACGAACAGAAAUAUUUUAUCAAGACCAUUUUUUGAUAAAUAUCUAAAUGUUUUAGAUACCUGUAAUUAAGUUUGGGUCAUAGAGGGGGAGUCAAGAUUUUCCCCUCCUCGGGUGGGAUCCCUUGGUGCGACCGUAGAGGGGAGCGGGUGGAACAUACCUAUAUAUGUUGUCUCUACUAGUUGUUUUUGUGGUUCUUUUUUUUUUGCACAAGGUUUGCAUGAUGUUACUGCAAGGAGCUUAUGGGGCAGCAACCCCUCUUUUAAUGCAUGACACUAGUUGCUUCAAAUUUUGUAAGAGUUGUCUGAAAUCAUAGCAAAGUUGUUGCAUGUUUUUUACUUUUGCAUAGGGGAUGCAUGCUAUUUUUUACUGCAAGGAACUCAUAUGGGGCAGCAGACCUUUUUUACAUGCCUGAUAGUAGUUGGACUCAUUGGAUGGCUAAAAGUGUCUAGAGAGGUCGAUUUCGAUAUUUGGGGCGUUUUGGUGAUCCACGUUGGAGUUGUCUUUAUGUUAGGUGAUUUAGAGGUGAAACUAGUCAAUUGAUAGUCAUGGUAACCGACUUAAAAGGAUCCUCCGUUGAUAGGUAGUCAUACUAGGAAAAAGGAGUUGCUUUUCUAUAACACUAAAGUUGCUCGAAAAAAAAGUUCUUCGAAACCUACUCAUAUGGGAUCUAGUUUUGAAGAACUCGUCGCGAGAAACCCACCGGUAAAAACGGAUUUGAAUUUUGACAUUCUAAUCAAAAGUUACAAGUUUUUAAAGUUUUUGAUCCCCUAAUAAAUGCAGGUGGAAGCUGGCGCGGGAGGUUUUUCCUUUUCUAGACUGUCCUGACGCCGCGUGCGGUAAAACUUUCCUUUUGGGGAGGGCCCUCGCUGACCUGAAGAGGCGCUCGUGCGCCAGGUAGCCAGGUCCAGGAAGGAAAGCAACUGUCGUUAAGCAAGCGAUGGGGGGCUCAGAAUUGCAAGAUCUUUAUGCCGGACAAUGUACCACUAGUCGUGUAUAAAUCGUUUGGCCGCCCCAAAAGCUCUUUCUUUUACAGCACCGAUUAUGAGUUUGUAACCAGGAUCAGCAAUUCCUUUUUGUAGGCGUUGUUUCCGCAUAUAUUGUGUGUAGGCUUUCUUGCAGAAAUAAUUUGAAGACGCUAUCGUGAGGCACAUCUAAUAUAUAUGUUUUUUGCGAAAAAUAUCAGAUCUAUUAUGAAGAUUCAUCGGAAGUAUAAAGAAACUCAAACAUAAUAAAAAUUACAUCGAAGUUCAUGGACAACCGAACGACCAUUGUCGCCACCAGAACGAGCCGCCGACGCGUAGCUGUCGCUGUCAGAACGAG
rnacentral:lncRNA from 1 species